AACAAGUAUGACGACGGUGGUUGAGAAUAAUAUUUGUUUAGAUAUAAAGAGGCUAUGGACUAGGAUUAUACCACAUGAUUAUGAUAAUGAGUAUGUGAAGUGUGUUAAAAAUGAUUAUUAUUUAAGUGAACUGAGAUCAAAAAAUUAAUUAUGUGUGUGAUUGACCAAAUGUUAGAAUUGUAGUGGAAGUAAAACAAUUAAUUGGGUUUAUUGAAUAAUCAUUAAUGUGGACAUACUCCACAUGUUCGGUUCACAAAUGGACAACAAUAUGUCCACACUCAAGGACACGUAAGGUUGUAGACAAGAUGAAUAUUAAGGGGAUUCCAUAUGUUUGGCACGUGUAAAGGCAAUUAGCCAUUUUACUUGUCUCACUGUAUAAUGCUAUCUAAAGGCAUAUUUUUGCAACAAACAGCCAUUUCCUCUUAGCUACAUCAACGAGCAGUUCAUGAUAGUAGCAACAUAAUUAUUAUUUUUAGGAAGCAAAUUCUACUAUUUCUCAGGAACAAUAUCCGAGUUUCGUUCACCGCUUUGAUAUCGUUGUUUUUAUUUUAUCGCGUUAUUAAAUUUGGGCUUUCUUCGAAGGAAAGUAAAGCGGAAGAAGAUCAUUUCUUGGCAUAUAAGACCUUGGGGAGCCUGAGGCGUAGAUUGGAUAUUUACUUAAGAUUGGCCAUCUUGGAGUGCGUACGAGGUACAGACGCACAGCCUGGUGAUCCACCUGUUUAGGACACCCUUUCUGCUAUUCGGAGUGCUCCUCUCUUUCCGGAGCUUAUACUUUUGGUAUAUAUAUUUAUUAGUGCAUUUGUAUAUAUUCGUUCAUGGGUACGGCGGGGCCCUGUCCCGUCAUAUGAUUCUGUCGGUCUGUUUAGAGGUCUGUGGACAUGUUUGUGGGUUAGGGUCUUUCUGUAUGGAUGUAUGUACAUGUCGUUUGGGCGAUCCCAUACGCCGAGGCGGCCGGUCCGCAUAUGUUGUUUGGGCGAUCCUAUACGCCGAGGCGGCCGGUCCGCAUAUGUUUAUAUAUUGCUUGGUUAGCCCUGUGUGGCUUUUGUUGGUAUUUUCUGCGUGCAGGGUAUAUUGGAUAGUCCGUAAAACAAAGGAAACUUUGCCGAAAUUUUUCUGGAAAUUACCUAAAUUUGAAAUAAAGCCUUGUCGGCUUCCGCCAUAUACUAGAAUGAGUUAAUAGAAUUUGAGAUAAUAUUUGAUAGAUGGGUUCGGGUGCCCAGAUCGGGCACUAGUCACGGCCUACGGGGUUGG